CCCAUGACUCAGCUUUCAGGAGAUCCUGAGAACAUGUGCCCAAAGUGGUCAGGGGUGCAGCCUGGUUUUAUACAUCUUAGGGACAUGUGAGACAUCAAUGAAAUACAUUUAAGGUAUAUGUUGGAUUGCUGUAGACUUAGAGAAGGAAUUAUAGAUGCUUUUAUGCAUUUUGUUUAGCUCAGAGUUUCUUGAGAGUUAAGAGGGGAAGAAAAGAAAUAAAUGGAUUUUAGAAUGUAAGACUGACUUUGGAAGAGAAUCUAUAGUUGGAUAAUAAAACUAGGUGUUGAAAGGGAAGUAUUGAUCAGAG
rnacentral:lncRNA from 1 species